AAUAGUAAAAUUUAGCAGUAAGUUAAAGAUAAAAAGAUGUGCCCUUAAACAAUUAAUUUCUCUAAAGGUUAAGGCGACAUCUAGUUUCGUCAGAAUGACAGGUUUUCCAGUGCAGAAAUCACUGCGAGGUUAGCACAUAAUUGUGAAAUUGCACUGCGAGGUUAGCACAUAAUUGUGAAAUCACUGCGAGGUUAGCACAUAAUUGUGAAAUUGCACUGCGAGGUUAGCACAUAAUUGUGAAAUCACUGCGAGGUUAGCACAUAAUUGUGAAAUUGAUUGGGAUGAUCAACAAAAUGACGGAUAAUUUAUCCACUGAAAAUUGUCAAUAAAUGGGGGGACAAUUGGAAUAUUAUAUACAGCCAUACCGGGAAGAGUGGAUUUCCUGUACGCGAACACAAGGAGAAGACAUUUACUAGUAUGUCGUGUGAUGUGCAUUGUUAAGUCCACUUCAUACAAAUUCAGUGAGACGGGAUUCAUAUUUAUGAAAAAGACGAGAAAAUCCAACAGCAUAGAAUAUCCAUUUGUGUACAUAAACGAAAAUUGGAUUAUGAAUAAGCUAUUCUUUCGUAUUUUAGAAGUGACUUGUCUUUGACUGAAAUAUGAUUAUGUCGGCUGGAAUUAUUGCGGGUAUAGUGAUUGGUGCUGUCCUUGGAACUCUAUUGCUGGGAUGUUGCUUUGCCAUGAUUUGCCGCCAUUGUCGUCAUCAUCACUCGGGACAUUUUGGGACUUAUCCACCAAUUAUUGGAGAACACCAUGGCGGGCAUCAUUACGGGGGUCAUCAUGGAGGUCAUCACGGAGAUCACCACGGUGGUCAUCAUUAAUCUGUGUCACACAAAACACAUGGGUCGCAUUAAACAGAUGUCCUCUGAAAUGCGAUGGCAAUUAAAUAUUUAAAACUCCAAAUUUGACCUAUAUUCAGCAAUUUGAAAGAUACAAAUGUAUCUAUUCAAUGCAUAUUUUAUUGUAAGAUAUAAAUGAACGGAUUGGCAUUGACAGUGGCAAUAAAGUUUGGAGAUACUGUAACUAUUUCAAUAUAAUUGUGAGAAAUGUUGGAUACAAUUUUACUGUUACAAUUGUACUAACGCUAGCCGAUAUGAAACAGGUCUGUAUUAUACGUUUUUAUCUUACACCCUUCUGUUGAAGGUGAAGAAAAAUUACAGCGUUUUAAAACAUACACAGCACACAAAUAAAUUACAGCAAUUAAUUGUAUUACACCAACUCCUACAUCUCAGGGCGGAUCCCGGAAUUUCAGUUUGGGGGCGCAACUUUAUGAACCAGGGGGUCUGGGGCCGCCUUGAGGCCCCCAGUGGGUCCAGGGCGAAGCCCUGAUGGGAGCCCAGUGGGCGAAGUUCCCGAAAGGUCUUGGAUUUUAAUAAUUUAGAGUUUGAAAUAUGUCUCCUAUGUAGUAAUUUUUUUACUAUUUUCUGUCAUUUUAAAUAAGGUGAAAUUAAUGAAAUGACGCAAAUUUUAUGAAUUUUUGGAGUUUCCCAAUAAAAGUAAUUCAAUAAA